ensembl:lncRNA novel transcript
AUCCCAGCUACUCGGGAGGCUGAGGCAGGAGAAUCACUUGAACCCGGGAGGCAGAGGUUGCAGUGAGCCGAGAUCGCGCCCCUGCACUCCAGCCUGGGUGACAGAGCAAGACUCCAUCUCAAAAAAAAUAAAGGAAAUAUGCGUCGUUGGAUGCUGUAUGACAAUCAAGCUACUUAUAACAAACAAAAUUGAGAAUGAAGGAUUAUGAUCCAAACUCAGCUGGGCCUCCCCUCCCUGCCCCAGGAUUGUGGAGUGAGAACGUUGCAGCAGGAGAGAACAACGCAGCAAAGCACAGCAGGGGAACCGGAAAUGCUCACCUUUUGACAGGGUACUUUUAGUUCUGGGGCCUUAUCUUAAGGAUAUUCCAACAUAUACAAAAAGAUUCAUGCACAGAGAUAUUUACUUUAGUAUUAUUUACCAUAGGAAAAAAGUUGGAAACAAUACAUUUUAUGUUCUGUAAAAUGAAAGAACAGUUAAAUAAAUCAUGGCUCUAAGACG